GACGAACGCUGGCGGCGUGCUUAACACAUGCAAGUCGAACGGAAAGGCCCUGCUUUUGUGGGGUGCUCGAGUGGCGAACGGGUGAGUAACACGUGAGUAACCUGCCCUUGACUUUGGGAUAACUUCAGGAAACUGGGGCUAAUACCGGAUAGGAGCUCCUGCUGCAUGGUGGGGGUUGGAAAGUUUCGGCGGUUGGGGAUGGACUCGCGGCUUAUCAGCUUGUUGGUGGGGUAGUGGCUUACCAAGGCUUUGACGGGUAGCCGGCCUGAGAGGGUGACCGGCCACAUUGGGACUGAGAUACGGCCCAGACUCCUACGGGAGGCAGCAGUGGGGAAUAGUGCACAAUGGGCGGAAGCCUGAUGCAGCAACGCCGCGUGCGGGAUGACGGCCUUCGGGUUGUAAACCGCUUUCGCCUGUGACGAAGCGGGAGUGACGGUAAUGGGUAAAGAAGCACCGGCUAACUACGUG
rnacentral:rRNA from 1 species